UACAGAGGUCACAAGCGUUGUUCGGAUUCAUUGGGCGUAAAGGGUGCGUAGGCGGCGCGGUAAGUCGGGUGUGAAAUCUCGGAGCUUAACUCCAGAACUGCAUUCGAUACUGCCGUGCUUGAGGACUGGAGAGGAGACUGGAAUUUACGGUGUAGCGGUGAAAUGCGUAGAUAUCGUAAGGAAGACCAGUGGCGAAGGCGGCGAUCUGGGUCGAUACUGACGCUGAGGUGCGAAAGCGUGGGGAGCAAACAGG
rnacentral:rRNA from 1 species